AUACGGAGGGUGCAAGCGUUAAUCGGAAUUACUGGGCGUAAAGCGCGCGUAGGUGGUUUGUUAAGUCGGAUGUGAAAGCCCCGGGCUCAACCUGGGAAUUGCAUUCGAUACUGGCAGACUAGAGUAUGGUAGAGGGAAGUGGAAUUCCGGGUGUAGCGGUGAAAUGCGUAGAUAUCCGGAGGAACACCAGUGGCGAAGGCGGCUUCCUGGACCAAUACUGACACUGAGGUGCGAAAGCGUGGGUAGCAAACAGGAUUAGAUACCCUGGUAGUCCACGCCGUAAACGAUGUCAACUAGUUGUUGGGGAGGUUAGACUCCUUAGUGACGCAGCUAACGCAUUAAGUUGACCGCCUGGGGAGUACGGCCGCAAGGUUAAA
rnacentral:rRNA from 1 species